rnacentral:rRNA from 1 species
UACGUAGGGGGCAAGCGUUGUCCGGAUUUAUUGGGCGUAAAGAGCGUGUAGGCGGCUUGGUAGGUCCGCUGUGAAAACUCGAGGCUCAACCUCGAGAUGGCGGCGGAAACCACUUGGCUAGAGUCCGGAAGAGGAGAGUGGAAUUCCUGGUGUAGCGGUGAAAUGCGUAGAUAUCGGGAGGAACACCCGUGGCGAAGGCGGCUCUCUGGCCUGUAACUGACGCUGAGGCGCGAAAGCGUGGGGAGCAAACAGG